rnacentral:rRNA from 1 species
GACAGAGGGGGCAAGCGUUGCCCGGAAUCACUGGGCGUAAAGCGCACGUAGGCGGAUUGUUAAGUCAGGGGUGAAAUCCUGGAGCUCAACUCCAGAACUGCCUUUGAUACUGAAGAUCUUGAGUUCGGGAGAGGUGAGUGGAACUGCGAGUGUAGAGGUGAAAUUCGUAGAUAUUCGCAAGAACACCAGUGGCGAAGGCGGACUCACUGGCCCGAUACUGACGCUGAGGCACGAAAGCGUGGG